AGCUUUGAAAUUCUGGUAUUAGACAAUUAACAUUAGAACACAGGUGUGAUAAUCUUUUUUGCAAUGGAAAAGGAGCUAGCUCUAGUCCUUCACAUGAGCCAACCGGGAGCAUGAGUACUUAUCACCCCUAUCUUUUAAUCAUUUGUUCCCUUCACGCUCUUGGUUGCUGUCCUUCUAGUCAGCUUAUUCAUAUACCCUUUGCAAUCGAUUAUGUCUUUGAUUAAUGUUCACAUUUCACAGAUCACUCUCUCUCUAUAUCUCUCUCUCCG
rnacentral:lncRNA from 1 species